CCGUGAAAUCCUUAUAGUUACUCCUGCACGGACGCAAUGAAGUCGGUCAGGAAGACUGGCUGCCAGGGUUGGGCAAAUGGACUCACCACAGGAUGUGGUAAAGGACACCUCCCAGGACGGAGAAAGUGCGGCGGGAACGGAUGACUCGUCAGGCCAUGAUGGCUAAAGGACACCCCAAAGGAUUGGGAAGGGGAAACCUAAAGGAAGAGGUAUAGUCAGGGAUUGCAGGGAGCAACUUCGUUCAAGGACAUGAGCGAUAAGACUAUCGGGGGCGACGCAAGUCGCCCCCAUCUUUUUUG
rfam:Aeromonas hydrophila subsp. hydrophila ATCC 7966, complete genome.